GCCUUCCUGGCUUAGUUGGUUAAAGCGUCGGUCUCAUACUCAGUAUGAUCUGCUUGUGAACGAGCAGAAGUCACAUGACCAAAUCACGUGAUCCGAAGGUCGCCAGUUCGACUCUGGCGGAGGGCA